AAUAUUGCGCAAUGGGGGAAACCCUGACGCAGCGACGCCGCGUGAGCGAAGAAGGCCUUCGGGUCGCAAAGCUCUGUCAUGAGGGAAGAAGAAAGUGACGGUACCUCAUGAGGAAGUCCCGGCUAACUACGUGCCAGCAGCCGCGGUAAUACGUAGGGGGCGAGCGUUGUCCGGAAUUACUGGGCGUAAAGGGUGCGUAGGCGGUAAUUUAAGUCAGAUGUGAAAGACCACAGCUUAACUGUGGGGUUGCAUUUGAGACUGGGUUACUUGAGUACCGGAGAGGGUAGUGGAAUUCCCGGAGUAGCGGUGAUAUGCGUAGAUAUCGGGAGGAACACCAGUGGCGAAGGCGACUACCUGGACGGAAACUGACGCUGAGGCACGAAAGCUAGGGGAGCAAAC
rnacentral:rRNA from 1 species